UUAUUGGGCGUAAAGAGCUCGUAGGCGGUUUGUCGCGUCUGGUGUGAAAACUCAAGGCUCAACUUGAGCUUGCAUCGGGUACGGGCAGACUAGAGUGUGGUAGGGGUGCCCUGCUACCCCCCUCUUUAUACGGUGGAAUGCGCAGAUGUCGGGGGAAAAAGGGCCAAAGAGAAGGCUUUUUUCCUGGCCCCACACUGACGCUGAGGAGCGAAAGCAUGGGGAGCGAACAGGAUUAGAUACCCUGGUAGUCCAUGCCGUAAACGUUGGGCACUAGGUGUGGGGCUCAUUCCACGAGUUCCGCGCCGCAGCUAACGCAUUAAGUGCCCCGCCUGGGGAGUACGGCCGCAAGGCUAAAACUCAAAGGAAUUGACGGGGGCCCGCACAAGCGGCGGAGCAUGCGGAUUAAUUCGAUGCAACGCGAAGAACCUUACCAAGGCUUGACAUACACCGGAAUCGGCCAGAGAUGGUCGCGUCUUCGGACUGGUGUACAGGUGGUGCAUGGUUGUCGUCAGCUCGUGUCGUGAGAUGUUGGGUUAAGUCCCGCAACGAGCGCAACCCUCGUCCUAUGUUGCCAGCACGUCAUGGUGGGGACUCAUAGGAGACUCCGGGGUCAACUCGGAGGAAGGCGGGACGACGAA
rnacentral:rRNA from 1 species